rnacentral:lncRNA from 1 species
AUGCCUUAGUGACAAGCAGGUUCGCCAAAGGAGCGACAGAUAAGGGGAAAGCACCGGAGGAGGGAAGGCCGGAGAGGCACGAGAAAAAGCAUGGCAAGAGACCUGAACCGUAUAGACAACCCUGGGAGCGCAGGGACCAAAGACCUCUCCCUCCUCGGGUCUCAGAACAAAGGUCACUCCCCCCGUGGGUUCCAGAGAAACCGACCCCUCUCAAUGCCUCUAAAGCCGAAGUACUCAUGGCCAUCCAAGACAAGGAGUUCCUCCAGUGGCCCAAGCCUAUGAAAACGGAAUCGAACCAGCGAGAUCCUG